CGCAUAAGCUUGCUGCGGAGAAAUUAAAUGGAUAUGAGUAUCAAUACCCGCAGCUGUUAAAAUUAAGUGUUCACCAGAAAUAGCAUCUGUUGAUACCCCAACAACCAUGCCCGGUGUAAUGUUAUCUUGAAUAUUUGGGUUACCACUUUUACCGACACCAACGAUUUUACCCGCUUUAAUCCCCACGUCCGCUUUAAUCACGCCUAAACGCGCAUCGACGAUGGUGACGUUAGUAAUUACUAAAUCUAAAACACCAUUAUCGCUAGUAAAAGUAUUAUUCGCGCCCAUACCAUCGCG
rfam:Providencia rettgeri DSM 1131 genomic scaffold Scfld0, whole genome shotgun sequence.